GAUGAACGCUGGCGGCGUGCCUAAUACAUGCAAGUCGAGCGAACAGACGAGGAGCUUGCUCCUCUGACGUUAGCGGCGGACGGGUGAGUAACACGUGGAUAACCUACCUAUAAGACUGGGAUAACUUCGGGAAACCGGAGCUAAUACCGGAUAAUAUAUUGAACCGCAUGGUUCAAUAGUGAAAGACGGUUUUGCUGUCACUUAUAGAUGGAUCCGCGCCGCAUUAGCUAGUUGGUAAGGUAACGGCUUACCAAGGCAACGAUGCGUAGCCGACCUGAGAGGGUGGUCGGCCAGACUGGAACUGAGACACGGUCCAGACUCCUACGGGAGGCAGCAGUAGGGAAUCUUCCGCAAUGGGCGAAAGCCUGACGGAGCAACGCCGCGUGAGUGAUGAAGGUCUUCGGAUCGUAAAACUCUGUUAUUAGGGAAGAACAAAUGUGUAAGUAACUAUGCACGUCUUGACGGUACCUAAUCAGAAAGCCACGGCUAACUACGUG
rnacentral:rRNA from 1 species